rnacentral:rRNA from 1 species
UACGUAGGGUGCGAGCGUUGUCCGGAAUUAUUGGGCGUAAAGAGCUCGUAGGCGGCCUGUCGCGUCGGAUGUGAAAGCCCGGGGCUUAACCCCGGGUCUGCAUUCGAUACGGGCAGGCUAGAGUGUGGUAGGGGAGACUGGAAUUCCUGGUGUAGCGGUGAAAUGCGCAGAUAUCAGGAGGAACACCGGUGGCGAAGGCGGGUCUCUGGGCCGAUAUUGACGCUGAGGAGCGAAAGCGUGGGGAGCAAACAGG